UAUAGUUCUCACUACAGUUAACAUCUAUGGUGUGAACGACAGAUGAAUAGUACGCGAUUGUGAUUGUACGAUUUGCAUACAUAUACUGGGGGCUUGCGAGGAGGUGCGCACAUUCGCUUUGGUCCUCUUGAGUACAUCUGGGGCACGCACUGAGCAUGUACGGAUGGAGAAGAGAAGUGGUGAUUUAUCUCUCUCCAUCAAUGUUCCAUCUGGGGCCUCUCUCAUCCCCCUGUCGCUUAGCAACCUGGACCUGACUUUCAUUUCCUUCAGAAUGUAUUUAACAGAUCAAAAACUACAGCUCAUGAAGGACGUUUUGAGGUUCUUCCUGUGUGCAUUCAUUCACUGCAGACUGCUGGUUAGUUUGAGUGUACACGACUGAAAUUGCCUCAAAAAAUGUGAUUGAAAUACAACAAGAUUCAACCUUCAAAAACCUUUGUCUCUUGUCUAACACUAAAAUUAUGUAUUUUUAUUUCCACUUUAUGCUGAAAUAAUCACUGAAUUUUUACUACAUUAUUUGUGUGGUUUGCUGAACAAAAAAUACAGUGGGAAAUAAAUCAAUUUCACAUG